GUAGGUGGCAAGCGUUGUCCGGGAAUUAUUGGGGCGUAAAGCGCGCGCAGGCGGUUCUUUAAGUCUGAUGUGAAAGCCCACGGGCUCAACCGUGGAGGGUCAUUGGAAACUGGAGAACUUGAGUACAGAAGAGGAAAGCGGAAUUCCACGUGUAGCGGUGAAAUGCGUAGAGAUGUGGAGGAACACCAGUGGCGAAGGCGGCUUUCUGGUCUGUAACUGACGCUGAGGCGCGAAAGCGUGGGGAGCAAACAGGAUUAGACACCCUGGUAGUCCACGCCGUAAACGAUGAGUGCUAAGUGUUAGGGGGUUUCCGCCCCUUAGUGCUGCAGCUAACGCAUUAAGCACUCCGCCUGGGGAGUACGGCCGCAAAGGCUGA
rnacentral:rRNA from 1 species